UAAAAAUUAAACCUUUAUUUCAUGUGACGGGUUAUUGCACGGAUGGUUGCAAAACUGGGUGGCAUGGGAGUGACUGUUUAGAAGUUGAGGGUCAAAAACAGGAAACAGACAUAAGAUUUUAUGCAGUCCUUGGUGCGUUAUGUCUUACAUUACUUCUCAUUGGGGUGUGUGGUGUUUACAAAAUCGCGAAAUGUAAAAGAAGAACAUUAGACGGAGGUGAAAGAUAUCGGCCCAGUGACUUUCCUCCUUGCACUAAAGACGCUGCAUUAAAAGUCAAUGAAGGUGGGAGUGUCAGUAAUGUAUAUCAAGAACUGGGAGAAAUGGGUCAGUCCUCAAUCUAUGAUCCCAUCGACUAAGAAAUAGUUAUACGUAUAUACUAUACGAUAUAUGUACAGUGAGUUGUGUACCCUCACUACAACGUCGGUUCCAAUAUAUUGAUAUACACCUAUCAGUUAUUUUUCUGUUAGGACAUCUGCUAUUUUACAAGAAACAUACACUGUAUGGAUACUAAUAUGAUGCCAAUAUUAAAUAUCUCGAGAUUUCAAAGAAGAUUAAAAUUUGUGUCAAUAUGUUUGAACUGUGAUGUCAGGAAGUAAGAAUGUUAAUGAUGUUAGACAUGUCGAUUUUUAUGUUUUUCAAUGUUAUUUUGGACUUAUUUUUCCCCAUCGUAUACCGUUAGAAAUCCAUGAUAAAUACCAUAUCGCUGUUUUUAGAAAACAAUUCCGCACGGUCUUCUCGUCAGAUUAAAGCAUUAAAAUAGUUUAAUUCUACUUGUCCUUAUAUUUGGUAUGAAGUUAAUUUGAUAUCCACACAUUGCCAAAAUAUUAUUAUUUACUAUAAUAAGGACUAAUGUAUUAAACAUUUAAUAUCAUGUUGGUACAUUGUAUAUUUUAUAGUCUUAUGACUAUAGGAUAUAUAAGUGUUUCAGAAAUGAGACGGUCACAGAAAGUUGUACAAAAGUUGUAGCUAGGUGAGGUCUUAUCUGUUGACACGUGUUAAAUAGACGAUAGUGUAUGUGCUUUUUGUGUUACUGUGGAAAUUGAGGACUCACAAUAGCCAAUUUUCGAUAGCAAAUUUCGAUUUUAUACUUCGGAAUGGAAUUCACACAUUUCAGCAGUUUUAUUGUGCUUUCAUUUGAUAAAUAAAUCUCAAAAGUUA